AGGACGAACGCUGGCGGCGUGCUUAACACAUGCAAGUCGAGCGGAAAGGCCCUUCGGGGUACUCGAGCGGCGAACGGGUGAGUAACACGUGAGUAAUCUGCCCCUAGCUCUGGGAUAGCUCCGGGAAAACCGGGAUUAAUACCAGAUACGACCACUUUAGACAUCUGCUGUGGUGGAAAGAAUUUCGGCUAGGGAUGAGCUCGCGGCCUAUCAGCUUGUUGGUGGGGUGAUGGCCUACCAAGGCGUCGACGGGUAGCCGGCCUGAGAGGGUGUCCGGCCACACUGGGACUGAGAUACGGCCCAGACUCCUACGGGAGGCAGCAGUGGGGAAUAUUGCACAAUGGGCGCAAGCCUGAUGCAGCGACGCCGCGUGGGGAUGACGGCCUUCGGGUGUAACCUCUUCAGUAGGACGAAGCGCAAGUGACGGUACCUACAGAAGAAGCACCGGCCAACUACGUCGCCAGCAGCCGC
rnacentral:rRNA from 1 species